rnacentral:rRNA from 1 species
UACGGAGGGUGCAAGCGUUAUCCGGAUUCACUGGGUUUAAAGGGUGUGUAGGCGGGCAUUUAAGUCAGUGGUGAAAUCCCCGGGCUCAACCUGGGAACUGCCAUUGAUACUAUUUGUCUUGAAUUCUGUUGAGGUGGGCGGAAUACAUCAUGUAGCGGUGAAAUGCUUAGAUAUGAUGUAGAACACCGAUUGCGAAGGCAGCUCACUAAGCAGCGAUUGACGCUGAGGCACGAAAGCGUGGGGAUCAAAC